CCUACGGGGGGCAGCAGUGAGGAAUAUUGGUCAAUGGCCGUAAGGCUGAACCAGCCAAGUAGCGUGAGGGAAGACUGCCCUAUGGGUUGUAAACCUCUUUUAUGCGGGGAUAAAGGUGUCCACGUGUGGAUGUUUGCAGGUACCGCAUGAAUAAGGACCGGCUAAUUCCGUGCCAGCAGCCGCGGUAAUACGGAAGGUCCGGGCGUUGUCCGGAUUUAUUGGGUUUAAAGGGAGCGUAGGCCGGUCCUUAAGUGUGCCGUGAAGUUUUGUGGCUCAACCAUGGGAGUGCGGCGCGAACUGGAGGCCUUGAGUGCGCGGAAGGCAGGCGGAAUGCGUGGUGUAGCGGUGAAAUGCGUAGAUAUAACGAAGAACCCCGAUGGCGAAGGCAGCCUGCCGCAGCGUUACUGACGCUGAAGCUCGAAAGCGCGGGUAUCGAACAGGAUUAGAUACCCGUGUAGUC
rnacentral:rRNA from 1 species